AAGAUUUUUUCUUCCGAGAGAGAGAGAGAGAGAUCAAUGGCACCAAUCUAAUCAAUCAAUCGAGAAUUUUUUCUGGUUGCUUGCGGAAGAAGAAAAUCCCAAUAACCUUGCAACCGGCUCGUAAUACAGCCAUAACAGAUGUUGGUUUUAGCACCUGGUUUCCUUUUAUUUCUGCCUUUGUUUUCCGUCUUGGAAUUGUACAGGGUCCACCAUCACACGACAAGAACUCGUGCCAGUUACAUCGAACUUUGACCAAAGCAUGUGGCGGUCCCUAAACUGGUACUUUAUCCUCACUACAUGAGAAACACACGAGUCACCCCCGCUGCAAGAUAGGAUUUAUGCAAGUAAUUGAGGAUGGGUAUUGAAUUCAGAAGCAUAAUCCAGACCAGUUGUUAACUGAUUCAAUUAUGAAUGCAAGUGACAGGGCUAACUAAAUUGCUUCAAAUCCCCACCAACCACUGGACCACUGAGAAAAAAAAAAAAAAAGGGUCUGGUGCGGUGCUUUAGGGACCCAUUGUUUGGUUAGGUCGGCUGCUUUUGCUGUGGUCGGUUGAGUCUUAGCCUUAUCACACUUUCUAAUUCAUAGCAUUGUUUUAAUCCUAACCAAGACCUUAAGAUCGCCAAUAUCCUUACCAAGUGAACUUUAUCUGAAAAUUCCUCAAAUCCUCCUAAUUUUUUUUUGGGCAAGAAAAAUCUACCGCAACUUUAUAAAUCUGGCAAGUGCCAUCUAGGUUUAAUCCAUGUUAAGUUAAUAAUGAUUCUUGUCAUCAUUAAAAUGUACAUUAAUCUAGAAUUGCCUCAAGCAGAGACCUCCAGUAAGCACAGAAUUUUUAUGACCUGAUCGAAUUACCCAUGAAUAACUGCAACAUAAGUAAUCAGAUACAAGGAUAUAUAGUGCUGCUGUAAUAGAAAAGCUUACAAGUUUAAUGAAAAUUUAGAAUUUCUAAAGAGUUGAAAAUAUUAAUCCGAGAUGUAUCAAUUCAUUCAAACCUUCUUCGCAACAUCAUACUCAUCUCAUCCUUAAAACAUCAUCAUAGAUAUAAUACAACUUCUGACAUCUUUUUGAGAUAUGUGUACAUAUGAACCCAAUUACAAUGACAUCAUAAGAUGAUGUACAUGCAAAUCUUAUUUCUAUUCACAAUAAUUGCAUGAGAAACAACAAAGCAAGCAAAGGAAAAUAUGAGAGAACAAAAGGUUAUACAAAGCUCUCACUCACUCCGGUUGUUUUAAGAUCAGGACUACUUAAGAGAAGCCUUUGAUUAGCUUUUUUACUCCUUAUGUGCGAUCCUCCCAAAGGGUCAUCCUUCUUCCACUCUUCAUGAUAUCCCAUCAAGAUAGGUAUGUGCUGCUGCCACCACAUGCACGGCCGCCCUUCCCUCCGACGGACGCCGGACCCCUGGGGGCCUUGGAGCGCUUGCGAGGGCGGCUCGCAUCAUCGACGGAGGCGAAGAUGAUCAUGGAUAUGAUCGAGAGCCACAAGAUGAUGACACAGAAGAUCACAUCGCCGCCGUUGUGGGGCUCGAAGACCAUGGGCGCCAUGGCUUUGUUGUGGAUGCUUUCUUUCGUCGCUUGCUGGAGUGCCUUCGGUUUGAUCCGCAAUAGUCCGGUAGAGCAGCAUAUAAAGGCUUUUUGAGAGAGCCGCCCUGUGGAAAUAUUUUCAACUUCGAACAUAAACCUUUUACACUGGCGUUGACCGACCCAAUGAUUUAUACAUGAGAUGUCGGUUUUGACUCGCCA
rnacentral:lncRNA from 1 species